AACUAACUAUUCCUAUAAUUACUCAAAUCACCCUAAAUCAUAACCAACUAGUUCUGACUAACUUUUAAACACUGUGCUAAAGUAUAUGAGUUUCAUAACUAAAUUACUCUUGAUUAAUCUAAUAGAAGAUAACUCUUUCAAUCCCUAACCACCAUCUUAAUCACUAUAUAAAUCAAGCAUAACUCUCACAUUUCGGGCUCUCUGAUUCAAUCUUCAUCUUUCACUUUCCUCCGAAUUCACUCUCCAAUUAUUGAACACUCUCUAAAAUCACUCUCACUCUUGUGCUCCUCUCACCACUCACACAAUCACAAAGCAGUUAUCACCAAUCAUCAACGAUCAUCACCUAAGCAUCUCCCUCGAUCCCUCACCGUUCUUUCUCAGACCCUCAUCAUUCUCUCUCAAUUAUACACACAUCAUCACACACGGAUUGAGAAGAGAGGAUUCAACAGAAGAAGUCAUGUGAAAAAGAAGAAAGGAAGGAAGAAGUUCAUAGUAAGGAACUUACCAAAAUCAUCUUCAUCUUUUUCGUGGUACUUUGAAAUCGUCUCACGUCGGCCUUCAUCGGAGAUCCGCCGCCGACGACGAUGAGCUCCAGCGCGGCAGAGUAGUUAAAGGCUACAACAAGGUGAUUCGCUAGAGAAGGGAGCUCAGAGUACUUUUCCUGAUCAUGUGUACUACCUCCGUUUUUUAUUAUAAGUCGUUUUGAGAAAAUAUUUUGUAUCAUAAUAUAAGUCGUUUUAUAAUAUCAAUGAAUCAUUAAUAUUAUUUUUCUUAUUAUACCCUUAAA